rnacentral:rRNA from 1 species
UACGUAGGGCGCAAGCGUUGUCCGGAAUUAUUGGGCGUAAAGAGCUUGUAGGUGGUUUGUCGCGUCUGCUGUGAAAAUCCGAGGCUCAACCUCGGACUUGCAGUGGGUACGGGCAGACUAGAGUGUGGUAGGGGAGACUGGAAUUCCUGGUGUAGCGGUGGAAUGCGCAGAUAUCAGGAGGAACACCGGUGGCGAAGGCGGCAUCCUGGACCGGCAUUGACGCUGAGGCGCGAAAGCCAGGGGAGCAAACGGG